UACAGAGGGUGCAAGCGUUACUCGGAAUUACUGGGCGUAAAGCGUGCGUAGACGGUUGCGUAAGUCAGAUGUGAAAGCCCCGGGCUCAACCUGGGAAUUGCAUUUGAGACUGCGUAGCUAGGGUGCGGAAGAGGGAAGCGGAAUUUCCGGUGUAGCGGUGAAAUGCGUAGAUAUCGGGAAGAACACCGGUGGCGAAGGCGGCUCACUGGCUCAUUACUGACGCUCAGGCGCGAUAGCGUGGGGAUCAAACAGG
rnacentral:rRNA from 1 species